UUUAGAUCAUGGCUCAAAUUGAACGCUGGCGGAAUGCUUCCCUUUUGAAAGUCAAACGGCAGCACGGAAAGCUUGCUCUCUGGUGGCGAGUGGCGAACGGGUGAGUAAUAUAUCGGACCUUGUCCAAUAAUGGGGGAUAACAAGUCAAAAGAUUCCCUAAUACCGCAUACCCCCUACGGGGGAAAGCAGGGAAUCGUAAAACCUUGCGUUAAUGGAGCGGCCAAUAUCUGAUUAGCUUGUUGGUGAGGUAAAGGCUCACCAAGGCGACAAUCAGUACCUGGUUUGAGAGAACGACCACCCACACUGAAACUGAGACACGGUCCAAACUCCUACGGGAGGCAGCAGUGGGGAAUUUUGGACAAUGGGGGCAACCCUGAUCCACCCUUUCCGCGUGAGUGAAGAAGGCCUUCGGGUUGUAAAGCUCUUUCGCAAGGAAAAAAAACUUAUGAUCGAAUAAAUCAUGAGGUUGACGGUACCUUGAUAAGAAGCACCGGCUAACUACGUG
rnacentral:rRNA from 1 species